CUUGGUACCGGAAGCGAGUAGUCCAGUCGCCCCGCCUCUUCCGGCCCCUUCCCUGCACUUCCGUAACACGACACAGAGAUCCCUGAGACAGGAAGCCUUUACUUUUGGUUUUGCUGUGCACUGAUCCAAGAGGACGAGGGUGAGUCUUCAUUCUGGUGAAACAUCCAGGGUUUAAUUUCUCUCUGAAAGAAAGGGGUCAGCAUCCCAUACAGAAAAUUCUUCAGGUGGA